GAUGAACGCUGGCGGCGUGCCUAAUACAUGCAAGUCGAGCGAAUGGAUUAAGAGCUUGCUCUUAUGAAGUUAGCGGCGGACGGGUGAGUAACACGUGGGUAACCUGCCCAUAAGACUGGGAUAACUCCAGGAAACCGGGGCUAAUACCGGAUAACAUUUUGAACCGCAUGGUUCGAAAUUGAAAGGCGGCUUCGGCUGUCACUUAUGGAUGGACCCGCGUCGCAUUAGCUAGUUGGUGAGGUAACGGCUCACAAAGGCAACGAUGCGUAGCCGACCUGAGAGGGUGAUCGGCCACACUGGGACUGAGACACGGCCCAGACUCCUACGGGAGGCAGCAGUAGGGAAUCUUCCGCAAUGGACGAAAGUCUGACGGAGCAACGCCGCGUGAGUGAUGAAGGCUUUCGGGUCGUAAAACUCUGUUGUUAGGGAAGAACAAGAGCUAGUUGAAUAAGCUGGCACCUUGACGGUACCUAACCAGAAAGCCACGGCUAACUACGUGCCAGCCGCCGCAGUAA
rnacentral:rRNA from 1 species